GGAGCCAAGCCAGAGGGCAGUGAGGGUGUGGGUGGGUUACCGGGACCCCUGCACCUCCAACAUCCCUUCGGGUGCCUGGGCUCCUGCCCGGCACAGCUGCCCAGCACAGCGGGGGUGGGAGUCUGUCCCUGCUCCAUGGGGGGGGGGGCUGGCCCCGCCCACAGCACCGUGGCUCCCGGAACACGCACAGCCAGGCCCCUGGGACCCAGAGGGUGUUUGUCCUUGUUUACAUGCCUCCCCUCCAGGGGCCCCUGCUGUUGGGGCCUCUUGGGCUGCCUGGGGAGGCGGGGAGGCAGGCAGGCAGGCGGGGCGCCUCAUCCCAGACCUCCAGGAGCCUGGGGCUGGACAGAGGGCCCCCCAGGGAGCCUGGCCUGACCCCCCCUUGACCCCACCCGGGUUGGGAGCUGUUCAGAUCACCUCAGGAAGCCUGCCUGUCAGCAGCAGCAGUCCCGCCCAGCAAGUGCAGAUACUGGGACAGCUGGAGGGAGAGGGCGCAGAGGAGGGCGGCAUACUGGUGGAAUAAAAGCCAGAGUGGGAAGGGCCCUGAGCACCCCCGAAGGUGGGCGGGGGUCCAGGUCCCCAGACUCGGCUCACCUAGCUUCUCCCAGGGCGUGGAGGUUCUUCAGCCAGGGGGUGGCGGCAGGCCAGUGGAAAGUCUCAGAACCGUUUUGGUUGCUGUGGGCAUCGGUCUGCAGACGCUCCAGUCGGAGAGAAACACCACCCAGCCGCUGGAACAGGCCUUUGGAUCCUAUCUCCAGAUUAUGCUAAGGCAGUUCUGGCGUCUCGCCUUAGUAACCAUAGGUCACUGUUGAGUCCAAGUUCCAGUCAGCCAACCGAGAAAGCGGCCGGGACCACCCCCAGCUGCACCACCUCACUCAUUAUGUCUAGAACCUCUGGCCAGGCUAGGGAUUGAGUUGGAGCCACAGCUGAGGCCUGUGCCACAGCCACAUGGGCUCUGAGCCUUGUCUGCAACCUACACAAGAGUGCACAGCAUCACUGGAUCCUUAACCCAGGAUUGAACCUGCGUCCUUAUGGGUACUAGUCGGAUUUGUUACUGCUGAGACAUAUCGGGAACUCCAGGAACCAGCAAAUUUAAAUGGUUUGUUGUAUUUUUCAGCAGUAUCAGCUGGUGCUGUAAGAAUUUUGUAGGGACUGUCCUGGGAGCUUGCCAGUUUUGAGAUGGUGACUUGAGCUGGGCACUCACGGGUGCUCCAGGGAAUGGGCCCAGCCCUAUCUUUGGAACUGUCAUCACUACCACAGUGAAAAGCACAGCAGCCUUAGGGGCUCCCGGGGUAUGUGCUUCAGUUGGCACCUCAUCGCAACCCCAGGCGAUAGCCUUUUUGUGAUGCCGCUGUGUGCCAGGGAUUUCUAAAGUCUAGUUUCUUGUUGCCAGGAAGCCCCACAACGCACUCAAGCCAGAGGCAGGACCAGACCAACCCCCAAUCCCAGCUUUGCAAGUUUAUCUCUAGGAAUACGCCACAGGCCAGUGCUGUAUCAGUUUGGGUCCAGUCCGGAAAGAAAAAAACCACACGGUGAUUUGAACAGGGAAAGUUUAAUGUAAAGAAUUAUUGGAAUUCCCUGGUGGCCUAGUGGUUAAAGGGUCUGGCGUUGUCACGGCUGUGGCACAGGUUUGAUCCUUGGCCUGGGAACUUCUGCAUGCUGUGAAUGCGGCCAAAAUGACUAACAGUAAAUUUGAAAUAAAGGAGUCUUUGGUAA